rnacentral:misc_RNA from 1 species
CCGAGUUUACAACUCCCAAACCCCUGUGAACAUACCUAUACGUUGCCUCGGCGGAUCAGCCCGCGCCCCGUAAAAAGGGACGCGCCCGCCCGAGGACCCCUAAACUCUGUUUUUAGUGGAACUUCUGAGUAAAACAAACAAAUAAAUCA